AGGAGCUUCCCACACCACAGCACAUCAGUUAUAACUGAUUCAUUUCAAAGUCUGCACGUACUUGGUUUAUUCCAGACUCUUCUGUUGUCAGUCUAAGCUGAUUUUUCCUGAGAUAUCUGCAGAGCUUUCCAGCACUUCAGAGGGUUACUUCUGUGUUUAACGGUUAUUAGUAAAGAUGGUGACAGUUUGCAGCCUGAUUAUCCAAAUUCGAGGAAUAAGCAACAAUGCGGACACUCUGUGAAGACUAC